CCUACGGGAGGCAGCAGUGGGGAAUAUUGCACAAUGGGCGGAAGCCUGAUGCAGCGACGCCGCGUGAGGGAUGACGGCCUUCGGGUUGUAAACCUCUUUCAGUAGGGAAGAAGCGAAAGUGACGGUACCUGCAGAAGAAGCGCCGGCUAACUACGUGCCAGCAGCCGCGGUAAUACGUAGGGCGCAAGCGUUAUCCGGAAUUAUUGGGCGUAAAGAGCUCGUAGGCGGUUUGUCGCGUCUGCCGUGAAAGUCCGGGGCUCAACUCCGGAUCUGCGGUGGGUACGGGCAGACUAGAGUGAUGUAGGGGAGACUGGAAUUCCUGGUGUAGCGGUGAAAUGCGCAGAUAUCAGGAGGAACACCGAUGGCGAAGGCAGGUCUCUGGGCAUUAACUGACGCUGAGGAGCGAAAGCAUGGGGAGCGAACAGGAUUAGAUACCCUGGUAGUCCAUGCCGUAAACGUUGGGCACUAGGUGUGGGGGACAUUCCACGUUUUCCGCGCCGUAGCUAACGCAUAAGUGCCCGCCUGGGGAGUACGGCCGCAAGGCUAAAACUCAAAGGAAUUGACGGCUUGAGAGNGCGAGACGACGACGAGGAGAG
rnacentral:rRNA from 1 species